rnacentral:rRNA from 1 species
UACGUAGGGGGCAAGCGUUUGUCCGGAAUCAUUGGGCGUAAAGAGCGCGUAGGCGGUCCGGUAAGUCCGCUCUGAAAGUCCGGGGGCUCAACCCCGGGAGGCGGGCGGAUACUGUCGGGCUAGAGUCCGGAAGAGGCGAGUGGAAUUCCUGGUGUAGCGGUGAAAUGCGCAGAUAUCAGGAAGAACACCCGUGGCGAAGGCGGCUCUCUGGGACGGUACUGACGCUGAGACGCGAAAGCGUGGGGAGCGAACAGG